UCACGUGGACGGCGCAUUCAAGUUCCCUGUAAAUAUGAUGAUGUGUGGAUCUGAGCGGCGUGCGGGUGCUUCAUUCUUUGCCGCAAUGAAGAGAAAGAGAAAGAUAAGAUGCUUAGGUUUUCCAUUAAACAAGGAAAAUUUCGUAAAAAAUUGACUUACUGCUAAAAAGAAGAUAAACAGAUCUCAACAUUCGACAAGAGUGUAUCACUUUGGAAAGUUAGCUGGAUCAGACCAACAGGUCAUACUCUUAAGCCCCACCUAUUGAGCUUUUCGAUUGGUUGCAUCCCUAAGCCCCGCCUUUGACUCCACCCCUAACCCCUCCCACAAUUCAUGUGUGCCUGGCCGAAGGGGUACCAAGCGGUGAAACGGGUCAGUCAGACUUGGACUGUCGGCGAGGUAGCCUGAACCCGCGGACGCAGUCUUUCCACAGGAGGCGAAGCAGGAGAUGGCGGGUCUUGUGUCAGCAGGCAGCGCCCUCCUCCUGCUGAUGGCGCGUGAG